rnacentral:rRNA from 1 species
UACGAGGGGGGCGAGCGUUGUUCGGAAUUAUUGGGCGUAAAGGGUGCGUAGGCGGUUUGGUAAGUCUUGUGUGAAAUCUACAGGCUCAACUUGUAGUCUGCACGAGAAACUGCCGGGCUUGAGUAUGGGAGAGGUGAGUGGAAUUCCUGGUGUAGCGGUGAAAUGCGUAGAUAUCAGGAGGAACACCUGUGGCGAAAGCGGCUCACUGGACCAUAACUGACGCUGAUGCACGAAAGCGUGGGUAGCAAACAGG